CGCCGCCGCGCCGACCGCUUCCGCCAGCUCCGCCUCAGCCUGGCCCAGCCGCCGAUCUCAGCGUCCGGCCACGCCGUCGUCCGCCGCGUCCCCCGCCGCGCCUCAGCUCCUCCGCGGCCGGCGUCCAGUGCGGGCCGGCGUGCCGCGCGCCAUGCACGGCCGGCGUCCAGGGCGCCCGGCCUGCCGCGUGCCGCGGCCGGCUUGGGCAGUCAGGGGUGGGCCAAGCGGGCCCUCCGGCGUGGGCGGGAGCCGUGCGCCUCGCCCUGUGUGCGGUGCCCGGCGCCGCCGCCGUAUGCUGCCGCCGUUGGCGCACGGCCUUGCCGGGAGCCGUGCGCCGAGCCGCGCGUGCGGUUCCCUGCGCCGCCGCCGUGAGGUGCCGCCGUGGCCCUCCGGACUGGCGGGAGCCCUGCGCGGCCGGCCUGACCUCCCGCCGUAAGAAACCUUCGGCGUUCGCCGUGCGGCGAGCCGUGCGGCUUGCGGCCUGGGCAUCCGGCGUGCUCGGAGGGCCUCCGCCUCCCGACGGAGACGGCGGGGAGGACGCUCGAGUAGCUCCCGUCCAGGGUCGUCGCUGUCGUGCCGCGCGGGAAGGGCGAGGACGAGUUCGGCGAGGAGGCGUGGACCAAGGAUAAAUCUAUAUCAGGAUUUAUAUCCUAGGCUCUCUGUGCAGCUGAUGAGGCUUUGAAGGUGCAAAUUGGUUGCCUUCAGAAGAUGAGAAGAAAGAAAAAAUGGGAGUCUCUAUUGGUGGAGGCAUUGGAAGCAUCUCAAACAUUUUAGAUGCAUCACAAAUGACAUUGAAAAUGUCUGUAUCCUUACUCCUGCAUUUAUCUUUUCUGGUUGCAAAUUUUAUUUUAGUAGCUAUUCAUAUGUGAUGGUGAUGUCGAUGUGAUGGUGGCUGGUGGAACAGAGUCCACUAUCGAUGCUUUGUCUAUAUGUGGAUUUGAAAAUAGUAGUUUGUAUACUUUUGUGACUGAAAAAUGGCUUGAAUGCUUCAGUAACGUAAUUAGGUGCAACUGUUAAGUGUGAGGAUUGUAGAAAGCCAUAGAGAAUCCACUUUUAUGUUCAGAAAUAAACAUGACGAAUAAAUAGCCUAUGCAGAUACUAAAUUUUGCAUUUUAGUACCAGUCGGUGUUACUUCGAAAUGAAUGCAUCUCCGACUCAGUCACAAGUGAUGCAUAUGUGAGAUGGUAAGGAAACAACAUGUGAAGCCGGAGGUCAUGGGUUCGAAUCCUCAUGAUCGCGCACGCGCAUCUACGCAUGAAAAUUUUGUGUAACUUGGGACUUGGGACGAUGCGCGUGUGUAGGCCUCCAAGGGGUUUGUCAAUUUUUUUUUUGGGCUCAAAACCAUUUAGUACCGGUGCGUGUGACGUCCCAUUUAGUACCGGAAAACCGGUACCGGUCGGGCGCCCGGUACUAAAUAGGGGUUUCCGACCGGUACUAAUAGCCUUUUUCUCUGGCUGUGACCGAACAAGCCCUAAUAUACACUAGGCCGGAAACAAUUUGGCGUGGCGGCCAAAUCGUAUCUGUGCUGGCGGGUGGGAGGCCCGCCAGCACUCGUGUGCCAGCACAAAUGCUGGCGGGCCGCCAGCAGAGUUUGCAUCUGUACUGGCAGACUAUUUAACACGCCCGCCAGCACAAAUUGCCAUCUGUGCUGAUGGGUGGCUUAACUAACCCGCCAGCACAAAUACAAAAAAGAAAAAGAAAGAAGCCCGCUGAGCACAUCACGGGCCCGGCGAGCCCAUCCGCCAUCGGCGUAGGUGUCCGCACGCCCGCCGCGCGCACGGGCGCCGGAUUUGGCAUUGGGAGCAGCCGCGCCCGCCGCUGUGCACGCAGCUGCUGCCCGGGCGCCGCUGCUGGAUCUAGCCUCACCGCCAAGGCCUCGCCCGAGCCUCUACUCGGCCUCGCCUGCGUGCCGUCCCGGCCUCGUCCGGGCUGCCGACCACCGGAUCCAGGCCUGCACCGCCGCUCGACUUCGCCCACGCGCCGUCCCGGCCUCGUCCGGGCUGCCGACCGCCGGAUCCGAGCCAGCGUCGCCGCUCAACCUUGCCCGCGCGCUGUCCCGGCCUCGUUCGGGCCGCCGACCGCCAGAUCCGGGCCCGCAUCGCCACUCCGCCUCGCCCACGAGCCGUCCCGGUCUCGGCCGCGCCGCCGACUGCCGGAUCCCGGCUGUGCCGCUGCCUCGCCCUCACCUGCGCGCCGCCGCCUCGUCCUCACCCGCGCGCCGCCAUUCGCGCGCGGGGAGGGAGAAACGGGAGGGGAGGGGAGCCGCGCCGGCGUCCAGCUUCUUGGGCGCAGGGGAAGCGUGCGAAGGGGCGUGGCGGCGGUGGAGGCAGUGGGGGGGGGGGAGAAUGAGACUGAGAUGAAAUCUCAAACCCUAAUAGUAUAUAUAUAUUAGUAAACCCUGGGUAUUCAGUAGUGGAACCCCCCAACCCGACCAUCACGCCGAGCUGAGCUCAACCCACCGCCCCGUGGCCGGUUUUCUGUCCGGCCGGUUCCUCCAAACGGUUUUCUUUUUGGUUCCCAGUUCCCAGAUCGUGGCCACGAUCUCACGACACGGUGUCCUGCAGGGAUCCUAAUCUUCCCCCUCGCUCCGCUCCGGUGCCGCGGUGCCGCCCUGCGCCUCCCGCUCCGGUGCCGCCCUGCGCUGCCCGCUCCCGGUGAUGCCGCUCCGAUCCUCCCAUCGCCGAUACGGUGAAUGGCGCCUCCCGCACGCCAGCUACUGGCCAGGCCCUGCGCAUCCUCACAUUCAAGGCUUCCCCGCGUCAGAUCGGGAUUGUGGGUGGUGGUUUCUUCGAUUUCGUCGCCAGGAUAGAGUGCCCUUCGUUCGAUCGGCUACCUCAUGCGCGAUGGGGGCGAGGAUGCAAAGGCGACGGAGACCUGCAGCAGCUCAGCUUCCUCACGGUCUCCUCAAGCUUGCAAUUUCUUCGAAGGUUUUAUCCUCGGUAUGCAUAGUGCCAUUACCUCCCCUCCACUCGAUUCCCACGGUUUUGCUUUAUUUCCCACGGAUGUGUGGAUUUGUUUAGGUAGUAAGCUCUUAGUAAUCCCCAUGACCAAAAGGGACAUGGAUAUCUUCUUGAUUCGUCAUCGUAGGAUGGCCCAGAGAGACUUGGCGCGGCGGCGGAGCGUUCCACAGCCACCCACCCGUCUGCUGGUGAGGUCUUCCCAGUGGUUCUUCUUUGUCCCCAAAUUUUUGUUCGUCUGGUCCUCAGAUUGAAGAUUGGUGCUUCAAGCAGUCAAUUCUCUUGUUUCUGCUGCCGGCAUCAGUGGCUGCUACACGACACAACCGACGGCUUUGUUUGGUGGGCAAGCUGACUUCCUCCCUAUGAUGUUGAUGAUACGGAUCAAGCGACGGCCAGUGCAUUAGUCUACUUAGAUGCCGGUGCCAUGUUUUGUGCAAGAACAAGAACAACAACCUCGAACCCAUACUGGACAAAGCACGAGAGUUUACCUCUCACUUGCGUGCAUUGUGAGGACACAAGGAGCUGAUGGGCAAGCUGGUUCAUACCAGCUUUCAGCUUGAGCUCCAAUGUUGUCUCCAUGAACAUCAUGGAGACCAUUGCCAGAGUCUUUGUCGAGCCAUUGAUGUUCAUCAGUUGGGGGUAGGGGAGGUCCACACCAUAAUCUUUUGUGGCAUCUCCUCUAUCCAGCUUCUCAUGGACCAUGGCGAGCUUGGCCAUCGGAAUCAGAGGAUGGAUUCUGGUACGAGGUCAGUGCAUAUGAUGCCUAUCAAUCCGAGGAGAACAAGGUGGUUUAGGAGUCCCAGAUGACUGGGGCUAUCCGGAGGAUGGAGGAGGUUCUGCAGCAGGUAAUUCUGGUAUCCAAGUCGAUUGGGGAAACCGAAUUAGAAGCAAAACUUGAGGAGGCAGUCAGCAAGAUCAAGAGGCGCAUAGUAUCCACUGCAUCUUUGUAAUUGUAACAUGUAUUGACGGUGUCAUAAUUUCGUAAGAGCUCCCAAGAGCAUAGAGAAAUUAAGUCUCUCUUAGCUAUUUCGCUCCAAGUGUUGUUGGCCUGAUGGAGAUGUCUGGUGGAAACAUGGAACAGUGAUGUGGCAGGCAAAGUUUUGUUAGUGUUGUUAACCUUGUACGUAGGGAUGAAAACAGAUCGGAUACGGACGGCUAUCACUGAUAUCGUAUUUGUUUUCAUAUUUGUGUUCGAAUACGGUGUCUGAUACGGAUAGUGUUAGUUUUUGUUGAAUAAGAUUGUAAUAAAUAUCGACAUUAUAAAAAUGUAACUUUUGAGCAUUCGGAUA